GCCGCGCUCGCGCUGCCGCUGCUGCUGCUGCUGCUGCUGGGGAGCCCCAAAACCGCCCAAAACUGCCCCAAAAUUCCCCAAAACUGCCCCGGGAACCCCCCCGGGAGCCCCCCAGGGACCGCCCAGAACUGCCCCGAAAUUCCCCAAAAUUGCCCCGAAAUUCCGCCCGAAAUUCCCCCAAAUUGCCUCAAAGACUCCCAAAAUUGCCCCAAAAACUCCCAAAUCGCCCCGAAAUAUCCCAAAAUUGCCCCGAAAUCCCCCCCGGGACCCCCCAAAAUUGCCCCGAAAUUUCCCCCGAGACUGAGCCCGAAAUUCCCCAAAAUUGCCCUGAAAACUCCAAAAAUUGCCCUGAAAACUCCGAAAAUUGCCCCAAAAAUCACGAAAAUUGCCCCAAAAUCCCUCCCGGGAUCAACUCCGGGGCUGACCCCAAAACCCUCCAAAAUUGUCCCAAAAAUCCUCAAAAUUGUCCCGAAAACUCCCAAAAGGUCCAUGAAAAUUCCCAAAAUUGCCCCGAAAAUUCCCAAAAUUGCCCCAAAACCGAGCCCGGGGUGGAGCCCGGGAGCUCCUCAGGGAGUGACCCCGAAAAUGCCGAAAUUUGUCCCAAAAAUUGCCCCAAAAAUGGCGAAAAUUGCCCCGAAAUUGAGCCCGGGAUGGAGCCUGAGGAUGGUCUCCUGGUGCUCACGGUGGCCACAGAGGUCACCGAUGGCUAUCGCCGCUUCCUGCGCUCCGCCCGCGCCUUCAACUACACCGUGAAGACUUUGGGGCUGGGCCGGCGCUGGCGGGGCGGGGACAUCGCGCGCAGCCCCGGGGGGGGGCAGAAGGUUCGCUGGCUGCGGGCGGCGCUGCAGCCCCUGCG